rfam:Cricetulus griseus cell line CHO-K1, whole genome shotgun sequence.
UGGCUCAAUGGUUAAGAGCACUGGCUGCUCUUCCAGAGGUCCUGAGUUCAAUUCUCAG